AUGCGCAAAGGCCUGGCCUCCAUGGCCUUGCUAUCCCCUAGGAUGAUCUGGAAACACCGCAACAGUUGCGUCUUUGAGGGCGCCCUGCCUUCGGCGCAAGACCUCGUUGUGAAGAUCAAGGAAGAGGCGUCGCUCUGGGCCAAGGCGGGAGCUGCUGGCCUUCGCGACAUCAUCCCCCAGACUUGGGACGUGCACUGA
rnacentral:rRNA from 1 species